CUUAGGCAGCGGGGUGGCUGGAGAGUGAGAGGUGGGAAACAGGAACUUUGAGUCACACAGGCUGGGGCGGAAUUCCCCCUCCUUCACUUACUGUGACUUUGCUCCUGGACCUCUCAGGGCCUCAGUUUCCUCAGCUGUAAAAUGGGGCUAAUAAUAUCUUCUUUACACAGGAUUAAAUGAGCCAGAAGUGAACUGCAGCUAACACUUGGCAGCAUUACUAGGUCAGGAGUCUGGGUAUGUGGUUUCCCUGGAAGAGCACUCUGGAGAGAUUAUCCAGGGGUGGGAGGAGAGGGAGUGGUGGGAGGGUGUAUGUGUGUUUUCCUAACUUGCCCCAACCUUGCCUCCGGGCCCAUCCGAGCCUUCACCAUCCUCCGCGGAGCUGGCACUGUCCCGAAGCCUGGAGCGGGACGGCCGGUGUCUCCGGCCCUUGGCCAACAGUUGGGCCCGGGCCUUGUGUAAACUGCUGUCCAGUCUGGCCGUCUCUGGCACAGCCAAGUCCAGACACGGAGGAACGGCAGCCCUGUUUGGAUGCAUCAGAGGAGGAAACACCAAAGCCCUUCUUUGUCCGGCUGAUCAACUCUGACACAGCACCGUCUGACAGCCGCACCACACUACCAUAUGGUCACGAUACGGUUGGGAUAUGGUCACCAAUGACUGUCUCCUCAUGCUGGCCUGCAACCUGCAGAGGGUGAAACCCUUCCCUGUCCACUGUGUAUCAUGAGAGCCUGGUGUGGCACCUGACAAGGAGCAGGUGCUCAGGAAGUGUUGAAGCAAAGUCACACUUCCAUGGACCAGUGCAUGCUUUGGCGGAGAUGGACUCCAGACACACACGGGUGCUGAUGAAGGUCACCUCCAUGCCCAUGCCCACAUCCCAUCAUGUCCACAUUUCAAUCCUCUGCCCAGCACUCCCCACCAUCUAGUAUGUUCCUUGUUUAUUUAUGUGUGCUUUGAUCAUCUGUCCCCCUACUUGCCCCUGCACGAAAAUUUGA
rnacentral:lncRNA from 1 species